AUUGAACGCUGGCGGCAUGCCUUACACAUGCAAGUCGAACGGUAACAGGUCUUCGGAUGCUGACGAGUGGCGAACGGGUGAGUAAUACAUCGGAACGUGCCUAGUAGUGGGGGAUAACUACUCGAAAGAGUGGCUAAUACCGCAUGAGAUCUACGGAUGAAAGCAGGGGAUCGCAAGACCUUGUGCUACUAGAGCGGCCGAUGGCAGAUUAGGUAGUUGGUGGGAUAAAAGCUUACCAAGCCGACGAUCUGUAGCUGGUCUGAAAGGACGAUCAGCCACACUGGGCCUGAGACACGGCCCAGACUCCUACGGGAGGCAGCAGUGGGGAAUUUUGGACAAUGGGCGCAAGCCUGAUCCAGCAAUGCCGCGUGCAGGAUGAAGGCCUUCGGGUUGUAAACUGCUUUUGUACGGAACGAAAAGCCCUGGGUUAAUACCCUGGGGUCAUGACGGUACCGUAAGAAUAAGCACCGGCUAACUACGUGCCAGCCGCCGCGGUAAGAC
rnacentral:rRNA from 1 species